rnacentral:snRNA from 1 species
AUCCCGGUGCAGGGGCGAGACGCUUAUCAGUGAGGGUUCGCCCGAGAUAGCGUUUUUGCUAGUUGAAAACUACCUAGUUUGACCGCUCCAGCUGAUUUUCGAGUCAGCUGGGAAUUUUUGAUACCCAAUCCAUUACCAACUCCCAUGACUUGG